ACACUCUGACCUCCAGCAUCCCAUCAUUCAGUGCUACGAGCACAACAUCACUGAGCUAUUUAUUUCAUCUGAUGUCAUUUUAUUUUAUUUUAAGCAUGUGAGAGACCCAAGCAAACAGUUUUACAUAUUUGUCAUUAUAUCUAAGUUGACAUCUGUCUUAGGAAAUGCUACAAAAACAGACGCCUCUCUUCCAGUCACUGCACCACAAAACAUUUCAACCACACAGUCAGCAGCUACAUCAGGUAAUGAUGCUCUCAGGUUACUCGUAGGUGAAUGUAGCAGGUGUGCCAGUAGUCUUCAAAUAAACGUAUAUCCCUGAAACUUGUUCCUAAGCUGAUCCAUAUCCCACCUCAACAACAGCAAAAGUGUUUUGCAAUACAAUAUAAGCACAAUAAGUACAUUGAACCUAAUAAUUAUUGUUUUUUUUUUCAAAUAUAAAGUGGGACCAGAUACUGCAAACAUUUCAUUUGAUCAAAUAACCAUUAUCUUUUAGGAAACAGUUCUGAAUGUAAAAACCCAAACUGCACAUCAAUCUCACCCACACGCACCUCCUCACAACAACAAAUCACCAGCACCACUGCAGACCCUCAAACAAAUCUCUCCACUCCCACCACUUCACCAAACACAUCUGCAGAUACCUCUGGAGGUAAAAAUCAAACACACUCCUGCAUUAUUAUACUCUCACACACAAUCUCUCACACUCUGACCUCCAGCAUCCCAUCAUGCAGUGCUACGAGCACAACAUCACUGAGCUAUUUAUUUCAUCUGAUGUCAUUUUAUUUUAUUUUAAGCAUGUGAGAGACCCAAGCAAACAGUUUUACAUAUUUGUCAUUAUAUCUAAGUUGACAUCUGUCUUAGGAAAUGCUACAAAAACAGACACCUCUCUUCCAGUCACUGCACCACAAAACAUUUCAACCACACAGUCAGCAGCUACAUCAGGUAAUGAUGCUCUCAGGUUACUCGUAGGUGAAUGUAGCAGGUGUGCCAGUAGUCUUCAAAUAAACGUAUAUCCCGUCCUGGACUAAACCUUUUUACAGUCUUGUUUAAAAAUGUGGCAAUUUUGUAGAAAUGUACUUCUACAUCCCAUAAAGUUAUUGUUGACAUCAAAGGUCAAGCACCCUCACUUUAUGCUAUUUUAGUGUAAAUUUGUAAUUGUGUAAUUUACCAUGGCUAAUGCUAAUAUUAGUCCAAUAUUUAAUAUGUUUGUAAAGUAUAUAAAGUGAUGCUCAAUAUAAUAUACUGCACUAUCACCAGGUCGAGGUAAUGAUUUGCGGUCACAUUUUAUAUUAGCAGGCCUUAACGUCGAUGUACUUACAUUUUAGUUAAUCAUUUGAUGCAGUGCACUUAUUGUGUACAUACACGUUUUUACAUUGUAAUCAUAU